rnacentral:rRNA from 1 species
AGGUUAACCGUAUAGGGGAGCCGUAGAGAAAUCGAGUCUUAAUAGGGCGUUUAGUUGCUGGGUAUAGACCCGAAACCAGGCGAUCUAUCCAUGAGCAGGUUGAAGGUUGGGUAACACUAACUGGAGGACCGAACCCACUGUCGUUGAAAAGCCAGGGGAUGACUUGUGGAUAGGGGUGAAAGGCUAAUCAAGCCUGGUGAUAGCUGGUUCUCCCCGAAAGCUAUUUAGGUAGCGCCUCGGACGAAUACCAUAGGGGGUAGAGCACUGUUUCGGCUAGGGGGUCAUCCCGACUUACCAAACCGAUGCAAACUCCGAAUACCUAUGAGUACUAUCCGGGAGACAGACUGCGGGUGCUAACGUCCGUAGUCAAGAGGAAAACAAUCCAGACCGCCAGCUAAGGCCCCAAAAUCAUAGUUAAGUGGGAAACGAUGUGGGAAGGCAUAGACAGCUAGGAGGUUGGCUUAGAAGCAGCCACCCUUUAAAGAAAGCGUAAUAGCUCACUAGUCGAGUCGGCCUGCGCGGAAGAUGUAACGGGGCUAAAACUAUGUGCCGAAGCUGCGGAUGUAUACUUUGUAUACGUGGUAGGGGAGCGUUCUGUAAGCCGAUGAAGGUGUGUUGAGAAGCAUGCUGGAGGUAUCAGAAGUGCGAAUGCUGACGUGAGUAACGACAAAACGGGUGAAAAACCCGUUCGCCGAAAGACCAAGGGUUCCAGUCCAACGUUAAUCGGGGCUGGGUGAGUCGACCCCUAAGGCGAGGCCGAAAGGCGUAGUCGAUGGGAAAAUGGUUAAUAUUCCAUUACUUCUGUGUAAUGCGAUGAGAGGACGGAGAAGGCUAAAUCAGCCUGGCGUUGGUUGUCCAGGUGAAAGGAUGUAGGCAUGUAUCUUAGGCAAAUCCGGGGUACUCUAUGCUGAGAUCUGAUAGCAAGCUGUACUUGUACAGCGAAGUGGUUGAUGCCAUGCUUCCAGGAAAAGUCUCUAAGCUUCAGUUACACAGGAAUCGUACCCGAAACCGACACAGGUGGUCAGGUCGAGUAGACCAAGGCGCUUGAGAGAACUCUGCUGAAGGAACUAGGCAAAAUGGUACCGUAACUUCGGGAGAAGGUACGCUGUUGUUGGUGAUGGAACUCGCUUCCUGAGCUGACGACAGCCGCAGAAACCAGGCCGCUGCAACUGUUUAUUAAAAACAUAGCACUCUGCAAACACGAAAGUGGACGUAUAGGGUGUGAUGCCUGCCCGGUGCUGGAAGGUUAAUUGAUGGGGUUAGCGUAAGCGAAGCUCUUGAUCGAAGCCCCAGUAAACGGCGGCCGUAACUAUAACGGUCCUAAGGUAGCGAAAUUCCUUGUCGGGUAAGUUCCGACCUGCACGAAUGGCAUAAUGAUGGCGGCGCUGUCUCCAGCAGAGGCUCAGUGAAAUCGAAAUCGCUGUGAAGAUGCAGUGUACCCGCGGCUAGACGGAAAGACCCCGUGAACCUUUACUGCAGCUUGACACUGAACUUUGACCUUACUUGUGUAGGAUAGGUGGGAGGCUUUGAAGCUGGAACGCUAGUUCCAGUGGAGCCGUCCUUGAAAUACCACCCUGGUAAUGUUGAGGUUCUAACUCUGUCCCGUGAUCCGGGACGAGGACCGUGUCUGGUGGGUAGUUUGACUGGGGCGGUCUCCUCCUAAAGAGUAACGGAGGAGUACGAAGGUGCGCUCAGCGUGGUCGGAAAUCACGCGUAGAGUAUAAAGGCAAAAGCGCGCUUAACUGCGAGACCCACAAGUCGAGCAGGUACGAAAGUAGGUCUUAGUGAUCCGGUGGUUCUGUAUGGAAGGGCCAUCGCUCAACGGAUAAAAGGUACUCUGGGGAUAACAGGCUGAUACCGCCCAAGAGUUCAUAUCGACGGCGGUGUUUGGCACCUCGAUGUCGGCUCAUCUCAUCCUGGGGCUGAAGCAGGUCCCAAGGGUAUGGCUGUUCGCCAUUUAAAGAGGUACGCGAGCUGGGUUUAGAACGUCGUGAGACAGUUCGGUCCCUAUCUACCGUGGGCGCUGGAAAUUUGAGAGGAUCUGCUCCUAGUACGAGAGGACCAGAGUGGACGAACCUCUGGUGUACCGGUUGUGACGCCAGUCGCAUCGCCGGGUAGCUAUGUUCGGAAGGGAUAACCGCUGAAAGCAUCUAAGCGGGAAGCCUACCUCAAGAUAAGAUUUCCCUAGGACUUUAUGUCCUCUAAAGAGCCGUUCGAGACUAGGACGUUGAUAGGUUGGAUGUGGAAGCAUAGUGAUAUGUGAAGCUGACCAAUACUAAUUGCUCGUGAGGCUUGACUAUACAACACCCAAGCAGUUG